AAAGAGUCUGACGCGGUGACAGUUGGAACUAAAAAUCGAUGAUUGUGGCAACAUUGCUUCACUUGUCAACUGCUAGUACAUUCUGUGUCAACCAGUGUCAACAGAGUGCGUUUAUUCCUAAUUAUUUAGAAAAAUAACAACUUUCAUUGCAUAUUAUACGAUUUAAAAUGAAUAAAACUAUUCGUAGUAGUGGCAGAGUAGUGAUUUAUCACGUCUUUUUGCGGUGUUUGGCCGAAUCGCAAGCGGGACAAGUUUUGUCCGAUAUCGAGGAUGUUUAUCAAAGAACUGCUGAUAUGACAGGUAAAUCUGUCAACACAGUAAGAAAAAUUGUUGAGGAAGGUGAAAAAAAUAAUGGCAUUUUUUCAACACCGGGAAAAAAUCGCAAAGGUCGCCCGAAGAAAGAUUUAGAUAAUUUCGAUUUAUGUGCAAUUAGACAAAAGGUUCACUUCUUUUACUCAGUGAAAAAGCAGGUGCCUACACUGAGAAAUUUACUGCCGGUAGUGAGAGAGGACUUGGGUUAUGAUGGAAGCCGUGAACAUCUCAGAAAAAUAUUACACUCUCUGGGUUUUUCAUAUAAG